CCUACGGGUGGCAGCAGUGGGGAAUAUUGGACAAUGGGCGAAAGCCUGAUCCAGCCAUGCCGCGUGUGUGAAGAAGGCCUUCGGGUUGUAAAACACUUUCAGUGGGGAAGAAAGCCUUGGGGCUAAUACCCUCGAGGAAGGACAUCACCCACAGAAGAAGCACCGGCUAACUCCGUGCCAGCAGCCGCGGUAAUACGGAGGGUGCGAGCGUUAAUCGGAAUUACUGGGCGUAAAGCGCGCGUAGGCGGUCUGAUAAGCCGGUUGUGAAAGCCCCGGGCUCAACCUGGGAACGGCAUCCGGAACUGUCAGGCUAGAGUGCAGGAGAGGAAGGUAGAAUUCCCGGUGUAGCGGUGAAAUGCGUAGAGAUCGGGAGGAAUACCAGUGGCGAAGGCGGCCUUCUGGACUGACACUGACGCUGAGGUGCGAAAGCGUGGGUAGCAAACAGGAUUAGAUACCCUAGUAGUC
rnacentral:rRNA from 1 species